UUGGAUUUUAUAUAAUAUAAUUAGUGCUAGUAAUUUUGGCUAGUUCGUGCAAUUAGCAUGACAUCUAUAGUUGAAAAUUUAAUAUUAUUUGGAUUAUCAGGUGUGCUAAGUGUUUAUAAAAUUUUGUAAUAAUCUAACAGUGUGUUUUAGAGAUAUCUAGUUUUUAGCACAAGAGAGUUUCAAAAGGUGGUAGUUUGAGGUUGGAUAGGAUUUCUAUGAUAUCUGAAGAUUUAUUAGUCGGAUUAAGGUGAAAA
rnacentral:lncRNA from 1 species